CUACGUGUGUUUUUAGUAAACAUAGUAUGUAACGGAAGCCCUGGUAGUAACGACUUUACUUCCACAUAAUUGUUGCAUGAAUUUCACGUAAAGUCUAAGUGAAUGAUUUAAAUCCGUUUUGUGCGUUUGCUUUGAGCGUGUGGUUGUAAAUUCUUAUUAGAAAAGGGAAUUAUCAGCCAACUGAUUUCGUUAGCUGUUGUAAAAUUUUUGUGUCUAAUGGAACUGUGGAUUCAGCUUUGUCUUUUUGCAAUGGACACAACUCAUCUUUCGUUGAACCUGGUGACGAUCACUCGUUUUAAGUUGAACUGUACGGAAAAGAUGUUAAACAGAACAUAUGAACGCAACAAAGGAUUCCAAAAACCAAGCGAGCUGCAGAAAUUGAGGGAAAAGUUAUAAAAUUGGUGU